rnacentral:sRNA from 1 species
CUCCAACUUUUUUUCGCCCAUUUAAAUUAAAGAAGCAACUACAGGGCAGUGCAGCAGCCACUUAGGAUUUACCUUCGCAGCCCACACUCGCAAACAUUUAUGGCCGCACCGGAGGCAAACAACAAAGGCAUUUUAAUUAAAUUAAAUUCGUGCGAAAACAAUUUGAAGAAGAAAUAUAUUUAUAUUUUACGAGCGUGCCCUGCGAAAAACGGGGCAAAUAAAAAGUCCGAGCAGCAGGAACGUGUUGCGACCAGCAAAUUGAGCAGAAGACCAGACCGAUAUACAAGGCCGAAAGACGACCAAUCUACAGCCGAAAAGGAUGUGCCUGCCAACACAAAAGCGGUUCAUUAAUUGAAUGGGGAAUUACAACAAAGUCAGCGAUAAGUUGUCUAGCCAACCACCGGGCGAGCACUCAGCCAUUCAGCCACUCAACCACUCAACCACUCGAACAAUCAACCACUCAACCUGCUGUGUACCGUGUCCUGUGUCCCGUGUCCUGUGUCGGAGUCCGAGUCGGAGACAAACCGCAUUUCUUGGAGCAGGCAGCUGGCCGAAACCCUGGCAACAAAAUGGUCUCCAGUUUCAAGGGUAAUACAAGACGAUAAUUGGAAUCGGAAAAGCAAAGUGCAGUGGACAGCGAGGUGUAUAAUCAUCACUCAAAUUAUGCCUACAGCUCGUACAUAUUUAUAGCAUUGCAAAUUUAAAUGAUAAAUGCUUACACGAAAUGUAACAUACAAAUAAAGGAAUUAAAUAAAAUUUAAA